rnacentral:rRNA from 1 species
ACUCCUACGGGAGGCAGCAGUAGGGAAUAUUGGUCAAUGGGUGAGAGCCUGAACCAGCCAUGCCGCGUGCAGGAAGACGGCCUUCUGGGUUGUAAACUGCUUUUACCAGGGGAUAAAAAGAUCUUGCGAGAUUAAUUGAAGGUACCUGGAGAAUAAGCACCGGCUAACUACGUGCCAGCAGCCGCGGUAAUACGUAGGGUGCAAGCGUUGUCCGGAUUUAUUGGGUUUAAAGGGUGCGUAGGCGGGCUAUUAAGUCAGUGGUGAAAUCCAGCAGCUUAACUGUUGAUGUGCCAUUGAUACUGGUAGUCUUGAGUACAGAUGAGGUAGGCGGAAUUGACAGUGUAGCGGUGAAAUGCAUAGAUAUUGUCAAGAACUCCGAUAGCGAAGGCAGCUUACUGGGCUGUAACUGACGCUGAUGCACGAAAGUGUGGGGAUCAAACAGGAUUAGAUACCCUGGUAGCGAGUAG